GAUGAACGCUGGCGGCGUGCCUAAUACAUGCAAGUCGAGCGAACGGACGAGAAGCUUGCUUCUCUGAUGUUAGCGGCGGACGGGUGAGUAACACGUGGAUAACCUACCUAUAAGACUGGGAUAACUUCGGGAAACCGGAGCUAAUACCGGAUGAUAUUUUGAACCGCAUGGUUCAAAAGUGAAAGACGGUCUUGCUGUCACUUAUAGAUGGAUCCACGCUGCAUUAGCUAGUUGGUAAGGUAACGGCUUACCAAGGCAACGAUGCAUAGCCGACCUGAGAGGAUGAUCGGCCACACUGGAACUGAGACACGGUCCAGACUCCUACGGGAGGCAGCAGUAGGGAAUCUUCCGCAAUGGGCGAAAGCCUGACGGAGCAACGCCGCGUGAGUGAUGAAGGUCUUCGGAUCGUAAAACGCUGUUAUUAGGGAAGAACAUAUGUGUAAGUAACUGUGCACAUCUUGACGGUACCUAAUCAGAAAGCCACGGCUAACUACGUG
rnacentral:rRNA from 1 species